GAUGAAGAACGUAGCGAAAUGCGAUAAGUAAUGUGAAUUGCAGAAUUCAGUGAAUCAUCGAAUCUUUGAACGCACAUUGCGCCCGCCAGUAUUCUGGCGGGCAUGCCUGUUCGAGCGUCAUUACAACCCUCAGGCCCCCGGGCCUGGCGUUGGGGAUCGGCAGAAGCCCCCUGUGGGCACACGCCGUCCCUCAAAUACAGUGGCGGUCCCGCCGCAGCUUCCAUUGCGUAGUAGCUAACACCUCGCAACUGGAGAGCGGCGCGGCCAUGCCGUAAAACACCCAACUUCUGAAUGUUGACCUCGAAUCAGGUAGGAAUACCCGCUGAACUUAAGCAUAUCAAGCGGAGGA
rnacentral:misc_RNA from 1 species